rnacentral:lncRNA from 1 species
AGACCCGCUGCCGGGCCGGGGCUGGGCCGGAGCGGCGGCGCCUGGAUGCCGGCCCGGGGCUGGGCCGGAGACUGGCGCCCGCCCCGAAGCGACUUUCGGUCCCCGACCCGCUCCGCCUGACCCCUAUGAUGAAGAGGGCGUCCACUGGAGUUCUUGCUGUCGACAUCUUUGACAAGUUCAACUUCACGGGAGCCAGAGUCCCAUGGUUCGACGCCAUUCAUGAAGAAUUCCCCAGGGAGCUGGAGUCCUCCAUCUCCUUCCCAGCCAACUUCUUCAAACCACCUGAAGAAAAAGUGCUUAGGUAGAGGUUGAGCAUCCUAAUCCUGAAAUCUGAAAUGCUCCAGAAUCUGAACCUUCUUGAGCACCAACCUGACACUUAAAGGAAGUGCUCAUUGGAGGAAGGCCCCCUGGUAAGGCCAGCCAGCCGGAGGACCACCCCGCAGACCACACGCCCAGGGCCUGGCACCGAGGGGGAGGCCCCGAUCAGCAGGUGAAAGCGACACCCUGAUGACACUGGCUAGUUCACCUUCACUCUGGUCAUCGUUUACUGUACCCCGGGGCAGCUCCCGCCUGAGCCCUAUGACCCCAACCGCCGCAGCCUCUGGCUGCCUCACUGGCCCAUCAUUAAUACGUCGAUGGUGAGCGCACUGGUGUACAGCGAGGGGGCUCCACUUCCGAGACCCCUGGAGAGGCCCGUCCUGGUGGAGUUCACCCUGCUGGAGAUGGAGAAGCGAACCAAGCCUGUCUGUGUGUUCUGGAACCAUUCCCUGGCGUAAAUGUGAUGCCGGGAGUUCUGCAUCUUCAUGCCCAUUCUGAAAGAAAAAGGAAGUUCUCGUCGCAGAAAGAAAAUAAUACCAAAGGGAAACAAAAUUUCAAGAAGGAAUAAAGAACAGUGGAAGAGUAAAUAUGAAGACCAAGAGCAGUGAUGACCUUUUAGCUGGAAUGGCCAGAGGGGUAACGGUGACUAAUGGUGUUAAAGGGAAGGAAAGCUCCUGCCCAUCUGCAGCACCUUCGGCAUCUGCCCCUGCCAUGACCACUGUGGAGAACAAAUCCAAGAUUAGCACAGGGCACCAACUGGACAGAGGCCUCCGGUCAGCCUCACUCUGACUGCAACCCCCUCUCACUGGACAGCAUCACCUGGACACAGAGCCUCACCUAGUCUGUGUCCCAUGGACACAACUUUGCUUUGGACAGUGACACCAAGAAUACUCACCCCUUUACUUAGCCAGACCACAGGCAGCCACCUGGACACAAACAUCUCUCCAGAGUCAGCCUCCACACAGACUCCACAGCAGAACUCCCAGGGAGGCACUGGGGCAUGGCUUCAGAGCACCAGGCAGCGCUCCGCGGUGCCUAGCACCCGCUCAGCCAGGGCAGCCUGCAGCGGAGCUUGGAGCCAGCAGCUUCUCAUCUCUUGGCCUCGGGAAAUGUAG